AUUGAACGCUGGCGGCAUGCCUUACACAUGCAAGUCGAACGGCAGCACGGGUGCUUGCACCUGGUGGCGAGUGGCGAACGGGUGAGUAAUACAUCGGAACGUACCUUAUCGUGGGGGAUAACGCAGCGAAAGCUGUGCUAAUACCGCAUACGCCCUGAGGGGGAAAGCGGGGGAUCGCAAGACCUCGCGCUAUUAGAGCGGCCGAUGCCUGGUUAGCUUGUUGGUGGGGUAAAAGCCCACCAAGGCGACGAUCAGUAGCUGGUCUGAGAGGACGAUAGGCCACGCUGGGACUGAGACACGGCCCAGACUCCUACGGGGGGCAGCAGGGGGGAAUUUUGGACAAUGGGGGCAACCCUGAGCCAGCAAUGCCGCGUGAGUGAAGAAGGCCUUCGGGUUGUAAAGCUCUUUUGUCAGGGAAGAAACACCGGCUCUAACACAGUCCGGGAAUGACGGUACCUGAAGAAUAAGCACCGGCUAACUACGUGCCAGCAGCCGCCGUAA
rnacentral:rRNA from 1 species